CUACGGCACAAAUUAAAGUCUAGCCUUUUCACAUUAAUAUACGUUAUUUUCAUAAAUCUAUUCUAAAUAAUUUUAAACAAUUUUAAAUCAAACGGUAUUUUUUCUUAUUUGCCAUAAAAAAAAACAAUUAUUUGCAUUACUUAUUUUAAACAGAUCGAUUGUUUUUCAAUGGUCGGUGCCUGUCAGCAUUUAUAAAACCGUGUUUGCCAGAAAGAAAG
rnacentral:lncRNA from 1 species